GACGAACGCUGGCGGCGUGCUUAACACAUGCAAGUCGAACGGAAGGGCCCCUUUGGGGGUACUCGAGUGGCGAACGGGUGAGUAACACGUGAGUAACCUGCCCUUGACUUCGGGAUAACUUCAGGAAACUGGGGCUAAUACCGGAUAGGAAUCCUUGCUGCAUGGUGGGGGUUGGAAAGCUUCGGCGGUUUUGGAUGGACUCGCGGCUUAUCAGCUUGUUGGUGGGGUAGUGGCUUACCAAGGCUUUGACGGGUAGCCGGCCUGAGAGGGCGACCGGCCACAUUGGGACUGAGAUACGGCCCAGACUCCUACGGGAGGCAGCGGUGGGGAAUAUUGCACAAUGGGCGGAAGCCUGAUGCAGCAACGCCGCGUGCGGGAUGACGGCCUUCGGGUUGUAAACCGCUUUCAGCAGGGGCGAAGCUUGUGGUGACGGUACCUGCAGAAGAAGCACCGGCUAACUACGUG
rnacentral:rRNA from 1 species